rnacentral:rRNA from 1 species
GACGAACGCUGGCGGCGUGCUUAACACAUGCAAGUCGAACGGUGAAGCGCCUUCCUUUUUGGUGGGUGUGGAUGAGUGGCGAACGGGUGAGUAACACGUGAGUAACCUGCCCCCUUCUUCUGGAUAACCGCAUGAAAGUGUGGCUAAUACGGGAUAUUCUGGGUCUGUCGCAUGAUGGGUCUGGGAAAGAUAUUGUUUCGGUGGGGGAUGGGCUGGCGGCCUAUCAGCUUGUUGGUGGGGUGAUGGCCUACCAAGGCGGUGGCGGGUAGCCGGCCUGGGAGGGUGGACGGUCACACUGGGACUGAGGCACGGCCCAGACUCCUACGGGGGGCAGCAGUGGGGAAUAUUGCACAAUGGGCGCAAGCCUGAUGCAGCGACGCCGCGUGAGGGAUGGAGGCCUGCGGGUUGUGAACCUCUUUCGCCAGUGAAGCAGGCCUGCCUCGUUUGUGGGUGGGUUGACGGUAGCUGGAUAAGAAGCGCCGGCUAACUACGUG